UGGGGAAUUUUGGACAAUGGGCGCAAGCCUGAUCCAGCAAUGCCGCGUGCAGGAUGAAGGCCUUCGGGUUGUAAACUGCUUUUGUACGGAGCGAAAAGGUCUGCCCUAAUACGGUGGGCUCAUGACGGUACCGUAAGGAUAAGCACCGGCUAACUCUGUGCCAGCAGCCGCGGUAAUACAGAGGGUGCAAGCGUUAAUCGGAAUUACUGGGCGUAAAGCGCGCGUAGGUGGUUUGUUAAGUUGAAUGUGAAAUCCCCGGGCUCCACCUGGGACCUGCAUUUGUGACUGCAUGGCUAGAGUACGGCAGAGGGGGAUGGAAUUCCGCGUGUAGCAGUGAAAUGCGUAGAUAUGCGGAGGAACACCGAUGGCGAAGGCAAUCCCCUGGGCCUGUACUGACGCUCAUGCACGAAAGCGUGGGGAGCAAACA
rnacentral:rRNA from 1 species